AGUGAACGCUGGCGGUAGGCCUAACACGUGCAAGUCGAACGGCAGCACAGUAAGAGCUUGCUCUUACGGGUGGCGAGUGGCGGACGGGUGAGGAAUACAUCUGAAUCUACUUUUUCGUGGGGGAUAACGUAGGGAAACUUACGCUAAUACCGCAUACGACCUACGGGUGAAAGCAGGGGAUCUUCGGACCUUGCGCGAUUGAAUGAGCCGAUGUCGGAUUAGCUAGUUGGCGGGGUAAAGGCCCACCAAGGCGACGAUCCGUAGCUGGUCUGAGAGGAUGAUCAGCCACACUGGAACUGAGACACGGUCCAGACUCCUACGGGAGGCAGCAGUGGGGAAUAUUGGACAAUGGGCGCAAGCCUGAUCCAGCCAUACCGCGUGGGUGAAGAAGGCCUUCGGGUUGUAAAGCCCUUUUGUUGGGAAAGAAAAGCAGCAGGUUAAUACCCCGCUGUUCUGACGGUACCCAAAGAAUAAGCACCGGCUAACUUCGUG
rnacentral:rRNA from 1 species